AAUGCCAAUCUCAGAGAACAAUAUCUAGCCUUAUAUUACACUGCUCACGAUAAGAACAAUACUAUUGCGCACGUGCUCAGCUCAUCCCUGCUAAACAUUUUGUUCAGACGGGAUUUGAUUGGCCCCAGACUUCUGUCAUGGCAUAAUCUUUUGUCCCGGUUGGAUUCGAUUAAACUGACACAAGGCCGGAAUGUGUUUCGCUGGAACCUUACUACAUCAGGGUCUUUCACAGUAGACUCUAUGUACCGUGCGCUCACACAUUCUGAGGUACCAGUGAGUAAUAACAAGAAAAUUUGGAAGUCCAAGAUUCCACUAAAAUUGAAAAUCUUUAUGUGGUAUGUUCGUAAGAGAGUUGUGUUAACCAAAGACAACCUCGCACGACGCAACUGGCAAGGGAGCAAGAAGUGUUGUUUUUGUACUCAUGACGAGACAAUCAAACACCUCUUUUUCCAAUGUAAGUUUGCACAUUCUACAUGGUCAAUCAUCCAAAUAGCGUCAAAUUUAUAUCCGCCCACAAGUGUUGCCAUUAUAUUUGGUCACUGGUUGGACGGUAUUCCAAAUAGGUUUAAAGCGCUUAUAAGGAUGGAGAAUGGCAGGUGCCAAAUUCAUAGAGCAACCCUUUGGGGACAUGACGUGAGGUAUCGCGUUCAGGCAUCCACACUUGGGAGCAAAGCCUCUCCCAGGGAUCGCUGUAAUUUUCUUUGCCUCAUUUGA
rnacentral:rRNA from 1 species